GAGCCUGAUGUAACAGUGGAUGAGCAACUGGUUCCAUUUAGAGGUAAUCUGUUUUCAUAUUUGUAAUAAAAGUGAUUUUCACUAUUGAUUUCUUUGACUGUUUUCUGUGACACUGAUACUAAUCACUGAUGCUAAUGUCUUUUGUCCAAAGGUUGUUGUCCUUUCCAGCAGUAUAUGCCCAGCAAGCCAGCAAAAUAUGGGAUCAAGUCAUGGGUGGCUUCCGAAUCAAGCUAUGCUUGGAAAAUGCAAGUCUAUACUGGGAAGUCAACCAGUGGAUGCCCAGAGAAGAACCAGGGGUUGCGAGUUGUGCUUGAUGUGACAGAGGGACUGAGGGGUCACAAUGUGACAUGUGACAAUUUCUUCAACUCUUAUGAACUCGGACAGCAGCUCCUGAAGAGGAAGAUCACCAUGGUUGGUACAGUUCGAAAGAACAAGCCUGAGCUCCCACCUGCACUGCUUGGGUCAAAGGAGAGAGAGGUCUUCUCCUCAAAGUUUGCCUUCACACCCACCACCACUCUAGUUUCCUACCUCCCAAAGAAAAACAAGAAUGUAGUUCUUCUGAGCACACUGCACAAAGACGGCGACACUAGUGACCGUGAGGACAGGAAGCCAAUCAUUAUCCUGGAAUUCAACCGAAACAAAGGAGGUGUGGACAACCUAGAUAAGGUGAUUGGAGCAUAUAGCUGCAGAAGAAUGACUGCCCGCUGGCCCCUGGUCAUCUUCCACAACAUCAUUGAUGUGUCCUCCUACAAUGCCUUUGUGAUUUGGAUAGAGAUCAACCCAACCUGGAUGUCUCAUAAGCACAACAAGAGGAGGGUGUUCCUGGAGCAGCUAGGAAAGGCACUUGUAACUCCACUCAUUGAAAGAAGGAAGCAUGUCCCCCGCACAGAAGCCUCAGCAGCAGUUGUGAAAGCUAUUCAGAGUGCAGCAGCUCCUGAUCAACCUGAGGAUCCAUCUACCACAGCCACUUCCCCAGCUAAGCCAACUAUAGAAAUUCAAGUGGAGAGGGAAAACUCAAGUAUUCACACAUUUUGUGCUUGCAGGAAAUGUAACUUACAUAAAUGGUUGAAGACAACCUAUUGGCCUUCAUGAGACUCAGAUAAAUGGUGAGUAUCUAUUUCAUAAAUUGCCUAAAACAGUUAUAUUUGUUUUUAUUUGUUUUUUGUUUGUGUAUUUUGUCUGGUUGCAGACCAGAGGAUCACACCUGUUGACAACAAACAAAGGUUUAACUACUGAAUUUUCAGUCAGAAAUGAUCGCACCACCUGGUUGAAGUACCUGUGUCCAUAUCCAAGUCAACAAAGAGAGGAAACACCCGAUUGACAACAUGCGAGUCUCAAUUUCAACCUGUGACUGGGAAGACUACAACCAUCCUGAGCAACGUCUGAUCUCAGCGACUUGUGACUCUCAACCCAGAACAAGAAUCCUUUUAUCACCAUUUUGUCUUCUACAAUAUGUUAUCUCUUAUGUGGACACAUACUGUUUGUUUUGUUUCUGUUUUCCAGAUCUCAGUAAUACCGUGAGGAAACUGGACAGAAAAUAGAAUCAGUUCUUUUUUUAACUUGACUUUUUAAAUAGAAAUUGUUUCUUUAAGUGGAUUACUCGUAAUCUGUAUUUUUGUUUAAUUAGAAAUUAUUUUCUUUAUAACUUUCUGUAUAGAAAUGCUUGACAAGUUACACUUCCUUGUGUGUUGUACUAUAAUUUGUAUGGUAAAAUUCUGGUAGGAACAGAGACCAGUAAUUUACCAUAAGUUUUUUUUGGGGGGCA